rnacentral:misc_RNA from 1 species
GAUGAAGAACGUAGCGAAAUGCCAUACGUAAUGUGAAUUGCAGAAUUCAGUGAAUCAUCGAAUCUUUGAACGCAUAUUGCGCUCUCUGGUAUUCCGGAGAGCAUGCUUGUUUGAGUAUCAGUAAACACCUCAACUCCCUUUUCUUUUUUGAAAUUGGAGCUGGACUUGAGUGAUCCCAACGCUUUCUUCCAAGAAAGUGGCGGGUUGCUUGAAAUGCAGGUGCAGCUGAACUUUUCUCUGAGCUAUAAGCAUAUCUAUUUAGUCUGCCUAAAAAACAGAUUAUUACCUUUGCUGCAGCUAACAUAAAGGAGACUAGUUCUUGUGCUGACUGAUGCAGGAUUCACAGAGACAGCUUCGGCUGACUUUGUAAACUCGAUCUCAAAUCAAGUAAGACUACCCGCUGAACUUAAGCAUAUCAAUAAGCGGAGGA